AUGACUCAUUACUGUAAAUCUCUCUGGAUAAGAGCGUCUGCUAAAUGACUCAUU
rfam:Salmo salar isolate Sally breed double haploid chromosome ssa09, whole genome shotgun sequence.